rnacentral:rRNA from 1 species
GAACGCUGGCGGCAUGCCUAACACCUGCAAGUCGAUCGGUAAGGCUCUUCGGAGUACACGAGAGGCGGACGGCUGAGUAACGCGUAGGAACACACCCUGCAGUGAGGGAUAAGACACCGAAAGGUGUUCUAAUACCGCAUACGGUCUUCGGAUUAAAGCAUUUAUGCGCUGAAGGAGUGGCCUGCGUCAUAUUAGAUAGUUGGUGAGGUAAUGGCUCACCAAGUCGAUGAUGUGUAGCUGGUCUGAGAGGAUGAUCAGCCAGACUGGAACUGAGACACGGUCCAGACUCCUACGGGAGGCAGCAGUGAGGAAUAUUUCACAAUGAGCGAAAGCUUGAUGGAGCAAUGCCGCGUGCAGGAUGAAGGCCCUCGGGUUGUAAACUGCUUUUAUAAGAGAAGAUUAUGACGGUAACUUAUGAAUAAGGGACGGCUAACUACGUG